rnacentral:rRNA from 1 species
UACGUAGGGGGCAAGCGUUGUCCGGAAUCAUUGGGCGUAAAGCGCGCGUAGGCGGCCCGGUAAGUCCGCUGUAAAAGUCAGGGGCUCAACCUCUGGCCUGCAUCCGAUACUGCCCGACUAGAGGUAGGUAGGGGAGAUCGGAAUUCCUGGUGUAGCGGUGAAAUGCGCAGAUAUCAGGAGGAACACCGGUGGCGAAGGCGGAUCUCUGGGCCUUACCUGACGCUGAGGCGCGAAAGCUAGGGGAGCAAACAGG